GGUGUUGCAUUGCCAUUGCACAGGCUGGCUUCACUGAGAGGCCAGAACACAGAGAAGUCUCUUAGUUCCUAAAGCUCUUGAUAGCAUGCAGGAACCACUGCCUUGGGUCUAGGCCCUAGUAAGAGCGCCUUAGCACACCAGUGUUUACUUACAAAACUCUCAUGCUUUUAAUUAAGCUCCAGUGUGUUCUUGACACCUCAGUCAGGUUGGGGCACAAUGAACAAAGAUUUACUCUUGGAAUAGAUGAGCGCCCAAGAACACAAGAUCACAGACCUAUGACUUAUGGGAACAAUAGGGAAGGGAAGGGACCUGUCUUGGAGAAGCCUGGGGAGGUGCUGUGACAAGGGGGUGACUCACCAUGACAUUUGCCACUUUGGUCCUUUCAUUCUGGAAGAACUUGGGUGACAGCUGCCAGAUGGGAAGUUAGCUUUAUGAGUCUUUGGCAUCAACUUUGGGCAAGGAUGCUUCUACUUCUUGUGACUGUCUUCUUCAACAAGAGAGAGAGAGAGAGAGAGAGAGAGAGAGACAGAG